UACGUAGGGGGCGAGCGUUGUCCGGAUUUAUUGGGCGUAAAGAGCUCGUAGGCGGUCUGGUAAGUCGGGUGUGAAAUCUCCACGCUCAACGUGGAGGGGCCACUCGAUACUGCCAUGACUCGAGUCCGGUAGAGGAGUGUGGAAUUCCCGGUGUAGCGGUGAAAUGCGCAGAUAUCGGAAGGAACGCCGGUGGCGAAAGCGAUCGACUGGACCUUUUCUGACGCUGAGGCGCGAAAGCCAGGGGAGCAAACGGG
rnacentral:rRNA from 1 species